AUUAUAGAUCUCCUAGUGGAAGCAUGUGAGAAAAAAGAGAAAUCAGAACUGAAACCAUGUUUUUGGUGGGGUGAUAGCACUGCAUGAUAGUCAGAGCUGAUAACUGAGCUGAUGCAAAAUGCCUUGAAAGCCUGCUAAAUCCAGCUUGCACUAAGGGCCCAGUUUGGCUUUGCCUUCAUGGACAGCAGCAACCAUCACCUGUCUGCCACGGCAAUAGAUGCCUCUGCUUCCUCCAGAUGUCCUUCUCCUGCAGACCAGAGAACACCUCUUGCUAAAAGGAUCGUUGAAACAGAAGAAUAGAAAUAAUCACUGGACCAUUUAAUGUAACCUUGUGUAUCACGUGGUGCAGGAGUUACUUAAUGAAAUUCCCUGGCCCAAACCAAGCAAAUCUGUGGUAAAUCUAGAGCACAUAUUUUCGGAUGACAGCCAAAAUGAUGAAAGGAAUUUACUACCCAGCCUCGCUAAUCAUUUUGAAUGCUUAACUGGGCUCCCUAAUAUGCUGCUUUGCAAGCAGCAAAACUUAUACAGCCUCAUUCCCUACACAUUUCUCCAGCCUUGCCCAGGCUGUGCACCUGAAAAAACCUCCCAGCACCCUGCCAGCCCUGUCCUGGGGCAGGGUGGCCAACUGUGCCUGCUGUGAGUGCUGGAUGGCCAGCUGCCCUCCUCUGGGAAGAGACCUCUGCAGGCCCGAACCUCUGCUGCCUCUCCCUUCAAAGCAUGUGGGCUUGGGGCUUGCUCUUUGCUCAGCUUAUUUAAAAAUCUAAAGAAAAGAGUUCUGCCCCAUCAGCUUUGGAAAUAGUUGUUUAACAUGGGAGAGAACAAGCUGAGCCUGCAUAACCCAAGACAACCAAUUCCUUUAGCAGAAA